rnacentral:tRNA from 1 species
GGCGAGGUAUCCGAGCGGUCCGAGGAGUGCAGUUAGGGUCAGCAUCUGUGUUACGAGCGUGGGUUUGAAUCUCACCCUCGUCG